UCAGGUUGAUACAGUGUCUGGAACAACAUAACAGCAGGUCAGAGCUCAGGUUGAUACAGUGUCUGGAACAACAUAACAACAGGUCAGAGCUCAGGUUGAUACAGUGUCUGGAACAACAUAACAGCAGGUCAGAGCUCAGGUUGAUACAGUGUCUGGAACAACAUAACAACAGGUCAGAGCUCAGGUUGAUACAGUGUCUGGAACAACAUAACAGCAGGUCAGAGCUCAGGUUGAUACAGUGUCUGGAACAACAUAACAGCAGGUCAGAGCUCAGGUUGAUACAGUGUCUGGAACAACAUAACAGCAGGUCAGAGCUCAGGUUGAUACAGUGUCUGGAACAACAUAACAACAGGUCAGAGCUCAGGUUGAUACAGUGUCUGGAACAACAUAACAGCAGGUCAGAGCUCAGGUUGAUACAGUGUCUGGAACAACAUAACAGCAGGUCAGAGCUCAGGUUGAUACAGUGUCUGGAACAACAUAACAACAGGUCAGAGCUCAGGUUGAUACAGUGUCUGGAACAACAUAACAGCAGGUCAGAGCUCAGGUUGAUACAGUGUCUGGAACAACAUAACAACAGGUCAGAGCUCAGGUUGAUACAGUGUCUGGAACAACAUAACAGCAGGUCAGAGCUCAGGUUGAUACAGUGUCUGGAACAACAUAACAGCAGGUCAGAGCUCAGGUUGAUACAGUGUCUGGAACAACAUAACAACAGGUCAGAGCUCAGGUUGAUACAGUGUCUGGAACAACAUAACAGCAGGUCAGAGCUCAGGUUGAUACAGUGUCUGGAACAACAUAACAACAGGUCAGAGCUCAGGUUGAUACAGUGUCUGGAACAACAUAACAGCAGGUCAGAGCUCAGGUUGAUACAGUGUAAAAUGUAAUACAACUCAGUUUGUUCAAAUGUUUUAUAUAACAAGGGUUCGGGCUGAACCCAAAUAUUCGACUGGUUGAUAGGCUGUUGGUCGACCGAUAUAUUUAUUUUUAGUCGAGCAGUAGCAAAUAAAUAAACACACAGUUUGGACACACCUUUAUUUUUACUAUUUUCUACAUUAUAGAAUAAUAGUGAAGACAUCAACACUAUGAAAUAACACAUAUGGAAUCAUGUAGUACCCAAAAAAAGUGUUUUAUAUUUUAUAUUUGAGAUUCUUCAAAGUAGCCACCCUUUGCCUUGAUAGCUUUGCACACUCUUCAACCAGCUUCACGAGGAAUGCUUUUCCAACAGUCUUGAAGGUGUUCCCACAUAUGCGGAGCCCUUGUUGGCUGCUUUUCCUUCACUCUGCAGUCCAACUCAUCCCAAACCAUCUCAAUUGGGUUGAGGUUGGGUGAUUGUGAAGGCCAGGUCAUCUGAUGCAGCACUCCAUUAUUCUCCUUCAUGGUCAAAUAGCCCUUACACAGCCUGGAGGUGUGUUUUGGGUCAUUCUCCUGUUGAAAAAUAAAUGAUAGUCCCACUAAGCGCAAUCCAGAUGGGAUGGCAUAUCGGUGUGGUAGCAUGCUGGUUAAGUGUGCCUUGAAUUCUAAAUAAAAUCACUGACAAUUUCACCAGCAAUGCACCCCCACACCUCCUCCAUGCUUCACGGUGGGAACCACAUAUGCUGAGAUCAUCCUACUCCAUUAGUAGUUGUUUCUUUGCAGGAAUUCGACCAUGAAGGCCUGAUUCACACAGUCUCCUCUGAACAGUUGAUGUUGAGAUUUGUCUGUUACUUGAACUCUGUGAAGCAUUUAUUUGGGCUGCAAUCUGAGGCAGUUAAUUGGUGACUUCUGAGGCUGGUAACUCUAACUUAUCCUCUGCAGCAGAGGUAACACUGGGUCUUCCUUUCCUGUGGUGGUCCUCAUGAGAGCCAGUUUCAUCAUAGAGCAUGAUGGUUUUUGAGACUACAAUUGAAGAAACAUUCAAAGUUCUUGAAAUGUUCCACAUUGACUGACCUCCAUGUCUUAAAGUAAUGGUAGACUGUCAUUUCUCUUUGCUUAUUUGAGCUGCUCUUGCCAUAAUAUGGACUUGAUAUUUUACCAAAUUGGGCUCUUCUGUAUACCACCCCUAUCUUGCCACAACACAACUGAUUGGCUGAAAACACAUUAAGGCACACCCGUUAAUUGAAAUGCAUUCCAGGUGACCACCUCAUGAUGCUGGUUGAGAGAAUACCAAGAGUGUGCAAAGCUGUCAUCAAGGCAAAGGGUGGCUACUUUGAAGAAUCUCAAAUAUAAAAUAAAUGUUGAUUUGUUUAACACUUUUUUUGGUUACUACAUGAUUCCAUGUGUCAUUUCAUAGUUGAUGUCUUCACUAUUAUUCUACAAUAUAGAAAAUAGUAAAAAUAAAGUAAAAACCUGGAAUAAGUAGGUGUGUCCAAACUUUUGACUGGUACAUUAUCUAUCUUUUUUUUAUGGCACAUGAGACACCGGUCUUAUUUGCUAAUCCAUUGCGGAGGCUGAGACGAACCCAUUGCGGAGGCUGAGACUAAUCCAUCGCGGAGGCUGAGACUAAUCCAUCGUGGAGGCUGAGACUAAUCCAUCGUGGAGGCUGAGACUAAUCCAUCGUGGAGGCCGAGACUAAUCCAUCGUGGAGGCUGAGACUAAUCCAUCGUGGAGGCCGAGACUAAU